UACACAUGCAGUCGAACGAUGAACUGGCGCUUGCGUCGGGGAUUAGUGGCGAACGGGUGAGUAACACGUGAGUAACCUGCCCUUAACUCUGGGAUAAGCCUGGGAAACUGGGUCUAAUACUGGAUAUUGACUUUUCCUCGCAUGGGGUUUGGUUGAAAGAUUUUUUGGUUUUGGAUGGACUCGCGGCCUAUCAGCUUGUUGGUAUGGGUAAUGGCCUACCAAGGCGACGACGGGUAGCCGGCCUGAGAGGGUGACCGGCCACACUGGGACUGAGACACGGCCCAGACUCCUACGGGAGGCAGCAGUGGGGAAUAUUGCACAAUGGGCGAAAGCCUGAUGCAGCGACGCCGCGUGAGGGAUGACGGCCUUCGGGUUGUAAACCUCUUUCAGUAGGGAACAAGGCCACACGUUGUGUGGUUGAGGGUACUUGCAGAAGAAGCGCCGGCUAACUACGUGCCAGCAGCCGCGGUAAUACGUAGGGCGCAAGCGUUAUCCGGAAUUAUUGGGCGUAAAGAGCUCGUAGGCGGUUUGUCGCGUCUGCCGUGAAAGUCCGGGGCUCAACUCCGGAUCUGCGGUGGGUACGGGCAGACUAGAGUGAUGUAGGGGAGACUGGAAUUCCUGGUGUAGCGGUGAAAUGCGCAGAUAUCAGGAGGAACACCGAUGGCGAAGGCAGGUCUCUGGGCAUUAACUGACGCUGAGGAGCGAAAGCAUGGGGAGCGAACAGGAUUAGAUACCCUGGUAGUCCAUGCCGUAAACGUUGGGCACUAGGUGUGGGGGACAUUCCACGUUUU
rnacentral:rRNA from 1 species